rnacentral:lncRNA from 1 species
CUGAGACACAACCAGGAAAGGUUUAAUAAAUAUAUUACCCAUCGCAACAAAAAUAAAUAUCAUUUAUAAAACAUUCAUUAUCUUUCGCUCGUCAGCAUAAUACAGUGUAUGUACACGUGCCCGGUACAGAUGAGAUAUACAAACGGCCGCCCGCACCGCCCCACCCCACGCAUUCCCCCGCUGACAGCACCACGUUGAACGGCAUCAAAUGCGGCUCCUUUGCGUCCCUCUGCCGUUUUGCCACACAGCAAAGGCGAAAGCGGGAGGACAAAAAGUCUUCGCAUCGGGAGAACGGCUUCAGGGCUCCGGGGGAGGGGGGGGAGGCGGGUCGGUCCGACAGCGGCACUUCAGCUCAGCUCUGCAGCGCUCAGCCCACGGUUGGAGCUCAGAGCUGCUGAACCGAAGAACGGAACAUAUAAAAGCAAGCUGAUUUUUUUUGCCACAAAACAAAGUUUAAUAAUACAGUAAUAGUUGGAGUACCGUCCGGUAAAGGUGUAUGGUAAAAAAAAAAAAAAAUAAGGAGUUCUGAGUAUGAAUUCACCUCGGGUAAUUUGAGCGUCGUAAAUACUUGCAUUAUAGUGAGGUAGACAGUAAAAAAGAAACUCUUUUCUCCGUUAUUAGCACAGGAUUUAAAUCUCGCAAUAAUAUUUUAGGGAGGCGACGAUGUUGGGUAAGGAGGAAAUAUCUGAUUCAUGCUCAAUUCUGUACAACUCAAAUAGAAACUUUCCCAAAUAUUAGACAUUAUAACAUUUCGAGUGCAUACAAAUGGUUUGUACAAUAGCAACACGAAACGCACGCUGUUCAUCUCCGCUUUGCACUUCCCAGUCCGUUUAAAUAAACAAAUAUUUACAGCUUUUACAUGAACAACGGUGCAUCCCGAGCAAAAUGUGCAUUUUAAAUUAUUGCUCCUGGUCGAGUCCUUUUAGUUGCAUUUUUAUCGCUUUAUAUUAUUAUUCUCUUCUCUCUUUUUUUUUUUUUUGUUAGUUUUUUUUGUUUGUUUGUUUGAUUCCCCC